rnacentral:rRNA from 1 species
AUUGAACGCUGGCGGCAGGCCUAACACAUGCAAGUCGAACGAGUGGCGGACGGGUGAGCAAUGUCUGGGAAUCUGCCUGAUGGAGGGGGAUAACUACUGGAAACGGUAGCUAAUACCGCAUACCUUCGGAUGUGCCCAGAUGGGAUUAGCUAGUGGGUGGGGUAAAGGCUCACCAAGGCGACGAUCCCUAACUGGUCCGAGAGGAUGACCAGCCACACUGGAACUGAGACACGGCCCAGACUCCUACGGGAGGCAGCAGUGGGGAAUUUUGGACAAUGGGGGAAAGCCUGAUCCAGCCAUGCCGCGUGUAUGAUGAAGGCCUUCGGAUUGUAAAGUACUUUUGGCAGGGAAGCGGUAUCUGCAGAAUAAGCACCGGCUAACUACGUGCCAGCAGCCGCGGUAAUAC